AUUUGCUACUGUAAGUAGUAUUAUGAAAUAUAAGCUACCUUUCUGAUCACCCUAAAUCUAUAACGGAUAAUUUAUGUUAAGAUCUCAAUUAUGUGCAAUCCAUAUGUGUAUUUGUAAUAUAAAUCAUUAACACAACAGCAUAUAUUUUCAACAAUAACACGCUUGGAUCAUUUCCACUUCAUUCUACUCUUAAUGUUUUACAAAGAAAUGCAAAUGUGAGUGCCCGUUAUGCUGAUUUGAAAGGUAGCAAAAUUUCAACACUGACUACUAUUCAUAGCCUUAAGGUUUCACAAUUUCAUAAAAGUUUGAAGUCAUCCACUGGUGUUAAACUUUUUGAAUUACAGAAUACAUGUUUGAAUGAUGGUGAUGUAAAUUUAGUACAGUUUUUGCAAGAAAUUGCUUCAGAGCAGCAAUUUGAAGUAACUUAUGUUGAUAUUGAAGAAAAGUCUAUCAGUGGUAAAUGCCAGUGCCUUGUGCAGCUGUCUACUCUGCCAGUGGCAGUUUGCUAUGGUUGUGGUGUUACUAGUAAAGAUGCUCAAGCUAGUGCUGCUCAAAACGCUUUGGAAUAUCUCAAAAUCAUGACCAAAAAGUGAGCCAGCGCUUUGCUCCUGCCAGCUGUCACUAUUAACUGUAAAUCUCAUAAUAAUUUGCUGUCCAAAAACCAAAAUAACAAUACAGAUUCAAAAAUGUUAUCGAACAAUCAAGUAUCAGAUAAGAGUAAAAGCAAUCAAAAACUUGAUCACAUGGGGAACAAAAGUAGAUUAUCAAAACCAUCUAUCAGAGCAGUAAAUACUACGAUGGGGAAUAAAGAUACUACAUUAAGUACAAUCACUACAUCAACAUCAACUGUUACAGUUUCUUCAAAUAGGAUGAAUUCAUCUAUAAAAAAGAACAGUGGAAAUAACGAGAAUUUAAAAUCUAAUGAACAACUAACAAAGAAUACGUCACUUGUAACCACAAAUCAAUCUAAUUCUUUCAAUACUGUAAGAGGUGUUAAUACAACUUGUGUUGGUAGUAAUAUUUCUCACGAGAGUACAUCUAAAUCAAAAGAUUAUUCUACAAAAAAAUUUUCCAAUGAAAUUGAUUCAAAAAUGAAAAAUUAUCAAAUACAAUCAGAAUACAAAGAAUCACCUGUAAGCAAUCAAGAUUACAAAGCAAGGAAUAGUGCGAGUAUAAACAACUUAUCAUCGAGGUUCGUAAAUCAAUCUGUUCAAGCGUUACAUAGAGACAACCAUGGAACUUCUUCCAAUACACAUCAAUCUCGACCAGCGUCACGGAACGAUAACACUGCAUUUGCCAUAGCUAGAAAAGCAUUGGAGCAACAAAAUUCGACAUCGAAGACGACACCGAUUAAUUUUCCACCUUUACGUGCUCCACAGAGUAUCGUCAAUGUUCGUCAUCCUUUUGUCACAGAAGCAAGAACUAAACAUAAUGAUAUCGAUGGUUCAAACUCUAAAUCAAAAUUGAAUAUGGUGAGUUCUUUGCAAAGUGGUGUGAAAGAUCUCGAUCACGGUAGACAAACCUUUCAUAGCUAUGGCACGUCUCAGAUCGCUGGUAUUCCCAAUGUUCAAAAUUUAAGUAAUGUUACGGCGAAUAUAUCACCUUACGCUAGACCGGAAAGUUUUCCCCAACCAACUGUUGCAAGUAUGCUAUUUCCUGAUACUUCUCAGUUUCCUCAAUCACCUCCGUUCAAUACAACACAAAUUGGACAGCUAAAUCAAUAUCAAACAUAUGAUCCUGGUAGUUUUGCAACUACACCAGUGAAUGUAAACCCUGUAAUUCCUCAAUUUUCCGCAGAAAGUUCCAUUCCAUAUCCACAAUACGAUAAUCCUCCUCAAUUCGUGCAACCGAAUCAUUAUCCAACGGCGGAUAUAGCCAAUAGUCAAUAUCAAUAUCAAGCAGCAAGUGUAGGACAACUACAGGACUCACAGAUGUUUAUACAAAGUUUACAGAGUCCUAUCGCUGUAACAGAUCAAUAUGCUGCUCCAAAUUACGCUAGAACAGUCAGAACAGAAUUAAUACCACGAUUGAGGAGGCCACCAAGAUUCAACAAGUAAAAAUGAUUUUUUUUACACACACACACACACACACACACAUAUAUAUAUAUAUUCGAAUGAAAAUUUGUCACAAUUAUAAGAAGAGUAAAAUGAAAAAUGAAUUUAAAUAAAAUGAUAAAGAUCUAAAGUCAUGAAAUAUGAUAAUAUUUCAAUAAAAAUAAAAUAUUCGUGUAUCUUAUGCAUUGUUGCGAAAAUUAGGAACUAAUUUGCCAAUCUACUUAGUCGAUAUGUUAUAUGGAGGAGAUUUGGUAAAAAUUAUUUCAAUUUUUGAUCCAUUUUGAAAUAAAUUUUAACCAGUCUAUAAGAAUUGAUGUGUGUAUGUAAAUGAUAACUGGUAUUUUGGCAAAAAUAUAUAUAGAUACACGGUUAAUGAUCAUUAUUAAUAAUCAUUCGAAAAAAUUCUGCCUGAAAUGAUUUUACACACAUAUAUAUAUACAAAAAAAAAAAACAUUACGAAGUGACAAGAGAAAAAAAUCAUUUUGACUUGUUUCUAUCAUUCAAUGUGACACGGCAGGGCAUAGUGAGUUGAGCUCGAUUAUAAUUUUAUGACGUAAUUUAUCUAAAUAUCAUUGAAUUUGAGAGAACGAAUGAACGAAUGAGCGAACGAACGAACGAACGAGUGAGCGAGCGAGAGAGAGAGAGAGAGAGAGAGAGAAAGAAAAGAAGAAAAAAGAGGCAAUUGCAACCAGUUUGUUAAAUUGUACAUAAAUUAUGACUAUCGAUAAGAAUAGUUUCAUUUCUAUAAAUAUAUAGUAUUUGCGAAAAUGAUUCUGGACAAAUUUGUUUUCGUCGAGAUUGAUUAGAGAAAGCAAAUUUGCUAGUUAGUGGAGCAGAAUUCAUAAUCAUGUUCCACGUAAAAAUCCAUAGGGAAAAAAAAAAAAGUUUAUGAAAUAGAAGGGAAGAGAAAAAGAAAAAAAGCAAAAUUAUGAUUAUAAUAAUGAUAAGUCUUAGUUUUAAUGAAUGGUAUCCUACAAGCUAUACUUUGCAUAGAAUUAGUGGAGGUUUUCCAAUAUUUGCAUAUUACUUAGCUUAUUGCUAUGUUUUUAAUGUGCUUCACUAUUUAUAUAUGAGAAUGACGGUGUAACGAUGUUCAUUGCAAUGCGAUUAUAUAUAAAAACAACUCCUUUGUAGAAGAAAAUAAAAGAAAUAUGAGAUGUUUGAAAAUUAAAUAGUAAAGUAAAUAAAAUUUUUAGUCUUUCGAAUAAUUCGCUUAAUUUGAACAUCGUAUCUCCAUCAAACGUAUGCACAGUGCAAACGUAGCUUUCGGCGAUCCGAGUAUAUCCGAGGGUGAUCGCGAUAAAGUAACGAUAUAAUCUUUCAGUGGUGUAUGUUUUUUCUUUAGUAUGGUAGCUCAUAAACUCAUAAGCAUCACAUAUUAAUACGCGUAAGGUUAAUCGUUAAGAGAAAUCCUCAUCUAAAUACGCAUCUCGUAUUAAACAAAACUAUAUAUAUACUCGUGUGUAUUAAAUUUUUGAAUUGCUAAUGUGCGUCACCGAAUAAGACAUUUAUACUAAAUGAAGAGAAGAAUAAUAUUGCGUAUGGACGUAUAUAUAGAGUCAAGAGGAUACGAUCAUGAAUUGAAAAAAAAAAAAAAAUGGAAAAGAAAAAAAGUUAAGGUAAGAUGGGGAAAAAAAAAAAUGAAAUGAAGUAUAGAAAAGAUACAUAGUUGCAUAAUAAUGCAAUUUUUAAUCAUGAAUCAUCAUCCUGUUUAUGAAUGACAUAAUUACGAAAAAAAUGUAAUUUUUCCGUGACGACCGAGAAAAUAAGUGCGAGAAAAUAUUCGUUGUAAAAUCAAUCGACGAAUAUUACGAAUUUUUCGUCGAAUCUUGCGUUUAAUUAAUAUUUCCGCCUAAAGAAAUCUGUGUGUGCAUACGCAAUUUCGUCCAGCGAUGAUUUUUUUAUUCUCGCUCCCUUCGAUGAAUCGUUAAUAGUCUAGUAGCAUUAGAUAGAUAUGUAUUUUAUCUAUUUAUAUUUCUUGAAAAUCUAGAAAACGAAUUUAUUCAUACUGUUUUCUUUUUCGCAUUGAAAAGCAACUUGUUUGAACUUUUGGACGUUGUUUACAGAUAUAUAUUCUCAUACGAGAUUUUUGAAUAUCUCUUCAGUAGUCUGUAUAAAAUAUACAUUGUAGUUUGUAUACAUUGUAAUAUAAUAUCUGCAUAUAUUGCAAUCAUUAAUUAACGAAUUGUUACAUCAUCUUUAUUAUCUACGAAUAUAUAUCUGGAAAUUUGUCUAUAAGCUCGAACAAGUCUGAUAAUUCAAUGUUCAUUUAACUUGUACUGAUAUUAUUAUUGUUACUUUUCGAACAAUCGAGUAUUCUAAUAGGAUCGAAAGCGAACGUAACAUGCAAAUAAAAUGUGAAAUUUUACGUGUAAAAAUUUCACGUAUGAAAUGGUGUAUGCAUACUAUAUUAAAUCAUCGACUCGAUAUAGUGGUGCAAUAACAAGCUGAUGGAUAAUCGCGCAUAACUACGAUAUCUUGCCCCGCAUCUUGACAUACAUAUAUCGAUAGUACAAAAAAAGAGUUCAUUUUCUGUAAGUAUAAUUCGUGGGCCAGGGUAACAUGGAAAUGCGUGAUGCUGAAUGAGAGAGAGAGCGAAAGAGAAAUUAGAGAAAGCGAGUGAAUGAGCAAAACGAUAAAUGUGCCUCAACACGAGUAUUAGGAGGAGAUAAAGGAAAUUAAUGAAACUACCCUAAGGUGUGGAUGUUUCAAAAAAUCGCGACAUGAUUUCUUGGUUGGAGCAUAUUUCAUACAUUUGGAAAAUAGGCAUUACUUACAUGCAAAGUAUAGAAUGUGUAUGCGUAUAAACGGAAGUACAUUGCUAGGUUGAUAUUGCAAUCAAUUAUUUCUUUAAUGAUACAAAAAUAACGAUAAAAAGAGAGAGAAAAAACGAGAGGAAAGCGUUGUAGAAAGAAUAGAACAGAGCGAUUUGAUUUGUGGAUCAUGAUCAUUGAAUCUAACUAAAUUCUUUUCGAGCAAUUUGUAAGAGUUGUGUUCGAUCAUGAUACAAAAACGCUUAAUUGCUACUACGGGUGAUGCUAAUUGUUUUCUGUAAUUAUAUUUAUUUUUUUAGAUUUUAUGGAAUUAGAAAAUUCAUCGUAUAUUUUGUUUCGACGAUCGAUUCCGUUUUGCAUAAAAUAUUUUCGAAUUUUUUUUUUUUUUUUUUUUUUUUAAUAAUUAUAAAAUGCUAUUUUGCAUGUUGAGAGUUCGACUAGUUUCACGUUUAUCUUCUACGUGUAAGUAGUUUUUUGUGCCAAUCAAAAUGAAUUCGUUGCGAAUGGCAAAACGGAUACGAUACCAAACGGCGUUUAACGCUGAAAGGCGUCGACAAAAAAUUGUUGAAACUCGCCAAUUUGUAAGGGAACAUAUCAACGCAUAUGUAAAAUUAGAAGAAAAUAAUCUGUGUGAAUUGGAAAGAAAAAAAAAAUCUCUUUUAACGAGAAAUUUUAUAUAAUUUUUUUUUUUUAUUAUUAGAAAUCAUUCAAAUUGAAAAUGAUACGAUCUUUUGUUUCAUCCUUUUUGGUUCAGAAGAAGCUUAAUUUUUUUAUAUUUUUCUUUUCUUUUUUUUUCUAUUUUAUUUAUUAUUUUUUUUUAUUUUUAUUGUGAUUUGCUGUUUACUUUUGCUUUAUUGAAAAAUAUAUAUAAUAUUAGAUAUAAUAUUUUGAUCAAAAAAAAGUAACACAGUAAGAUUCUUCAAAUUUUACAAUGGUAUAUGUACCCUUAAAAAUAAAAUGAACAGUGUUUCUGAACCGUUGAUCAUAAUCGAAACGCCUCGUUGAUUAUUCUCAAUUUUGCUUUAAGUUUUUGUAUUGCGAAUAACCAGGAAAAUCCUCGAGAGCGUUAAGAUUGAAUCGAUUCAUCGAUUGAAAUCGUUAAUCGACGCGAUUAGUUUGCUUUUUUAAAAAAAUUAAUCGACUUGAUUAACUGCUUCAAAAAAUAAAAGAUAAAAAAAAAAAAAUAAAAACAAAGCGUCGAUUUAUCGUACCUUUAUACUACUGAUAUUCUCUUAUUUAAGGGGAGGGGACGAUAAUAUCGAGCAAAAAAAAAAAAAAAAAAAAAGUAAUUAGUGAGCGAUCCGGUUAUCAAACAGCGAGGCGAAAGCAUAAUAAAAAAGAAAUAUUGUGAUGCAUAAUGAGACAAAAUAUAAUAGAGAGAGAAAAAUAGACUUCCCAUCUUUUUCAAUUAUGGGGAAGCACAUCUAUGUGGACCAACUUAAGAACGGGAAAAGGAGACGAAUUUUUCGAUUCGAUUAAGCAAGUAAUUUUCUUUUUAUCAAUUGCUAUAUACGUAUAUAUAUAUGUUAUAUAUAUAUGUAUAUAUUUCGUUUCUCUUUUCUCGUUCGCACUUCUCAUUACAGAAGUGGUCUUCUUAGUUGUGCAAAAGAAGAAAAUUUUCAACGAUUUUCAAAGUUGACGGAUGAAUAAAAAAAUGAAAGAAAAAAGAAAAAAUUUAUUAGCAUUUUUCAAUGGGAUCCGUCGAGUCUCGUGUACGAAAUAAACAAUAAAUUUAUUAAGGCAAAUA